rfam:Clostridiales bacterium 41_21_two_genomes Ley3_66761_scaffold_15, whole genome shotgun sequence.
AUAUUGUCGGCAGCAGUGUCUGCCAAAAUGC